rnacentral:rRNA from 1 species
CAGCCGCCGCGGGAAUACGUAGGUGGCGAGCGUUGUCCGGAAUUAUUGGGCGUAAAGGGAGCGCAGGCGGACAUAUAAGUCCAUCUUAAAAGUGCGGGGCUCAACCCCGUGAGGGGAUGGAAACUGUAUGCCUUGAGUGCAGGAGAGGAAUGCGGAAUUCCCAGUGUAGCGGUGAAAUGCGUAGAUAUUGGGAGGAACACCAGUGGCGAAGGCGGCUUUCUGGACUGCAACUGACGCUGAGGCUCGAAAGCCAGGGGAGCGAACGGGAUUAGAUACCCGUGUAGUCCCUGUCUCUUAUACA